ACUCAAAGGAAUUGACGGGGACUCACACAAGCGGUGGACCAUGUGGCUUAAUUCGACAACAAACGAAGAACCUUACCAGGACUAGAAACCUAGACGAAAUCCCGAUGAAAGUUGGGACCUCCACAAGACGGCUAGGCAGGUGCUGCAUGGUUGUCGUCAGUUCGUGUCUUGAGACGUACCGUUAAUUCGGGUAACGAACGCAACCCUUACCCUGUGUUUUACAUGUCAUAGGGGACUGCCCGGGAAAACUGGGAGGAAGGUGAGGAUGACGCCAAAUCAGCAUGGCCCUUGAUGUCCUGGGCCGCACACGUGGUACAAUGGCCGGUACAAUGGGUACUGAAGUCGCAAGACGGAGGAUAAUCCUAUUAAAGCCGGUCUCAGUUCGGAUUGAGGGCUGAAACCCGCCCUCAUGAAGCUGGAAUCGCUAGUAAUCGCCAAUCAGCUACGUGGCGAUGAAUACGUUCCUGAGUCUUGUACACACCGCCCGU
rnacentral:rRNA from 1 species